rnacentral:rRNA from 1 species
AGAGUUUGAUCCUGGCUCAGAGCGAACGCUGGCGGAAUGCUUAACACAUGCAAGUCGCACGCCCCGCAAGGGGAGUGGCGGACGGGUGAGAAACGCGUAGGAACAUGUCCGGAGGUGGGGGACAACCCUGGGAAACCGGGGCUAAUACCGCAUAUGGGCCGAGGCCCAAAGCAGCGAUGCGCCUUCGGAGUGGCCUGCGUCCGAUUAGCUUGUUGGCGGGGUAACGGCCCACCAAGGCUACGAUCGGUAGCUGGUCUGAGAGGACGACCAGCCACACUGGGACUGAGACACGGCCCAGACUCCUACGGGAGGCAGCAGUGGGGAAUAUUGGGCAAUGGGCGCAAGCCUGACCCAGCAAUUCCGCGUGGGUGAAGAAGGUCUUCGGAUUGUAAAGCCCUUUCGGCGGGGACGAUGGUGACGGUACCCGCAGAAGAAGCCCCGGCUAACUUCGUGCCAGCAGCCGCGGUAAUACGAAGGGGGCUAGCGUUGCUCGGAAUCAUUGGGCGUAAAGGGCGCGUAGGCGGCGCUGUUAGUCAGGCGUGAAACCCCUGGGCUCAACCCAGGAACUGCGCUUGAUACGGCAGGGCUCGAGGAUGGAAGAGGGCCGCGGAAUUCCCAGUGUAGAGGUGAAAUUCGUAGAUAUUGGGAAGAACACCGGUGGCGAAGGCGGCGGCCUGGUCCAUUUCUGACGCUGAGGCGCGACAGCGUGGGGAGCAAACAGGAUUAGAUACCCCGGUAGUCC